rnacentral:rRNA from 1 species
UACCGUGAGGGAAAGGUGAAAAGUACUCCGGUGAGGAGAGUGAAAUAGUACCUGAAACCGUGUGUCUACAAGCAGUGGGAGUCCUAUUCAUGGUUGCUUGUCAACUGUGAAGGAUGACCGCGUGCCUUUUGCAUAAUGAGUCAGCGAGUUAUUCUGUGUCGCAAGGUUAAGCCGUUAGGUGUAGCCGUAGCGAAAGCGAGUCUUAAUAGGGCGUAUCCCCGCUUAAGCGGGGUGUAGUUGCACGGAGUAGACCCGAAACCGAGUGAUCUACCCAUGGCCAGGGUAAAACGGGAGUAAGAUCCCGUGGAGGCUCGAACCGGUGUUGGUUGAAAACAACUCGGAUGAGCUGUGGGUAGGAGUGAAAGGCUAAUCAAACUCGGAGAUAGCUGGUUCUCCCCGAAAUAUAUUUAGGUAUAGCCUUGCAAUUGAGUGAUGGAGGUAGGGCACUGGAUGGGCUAGGGGUCUUACAGGACUACCAAACCCAACCAAACUUCGAAUGCCAUCAUCUCUUAUUGCAGGAGUCAGACUACGGGAGAUAAGUUCCGUGGUCGAGAGGGAAACAACCCAGACCAUCAGCUAAGGUCCCAAAAAUGUACUUAGUGGAAAAGGAAGUGGAAACGUUCAGACAGCCAGGAGGUUGGCUUAGAAGCAGCCAUCCUUUAAAGAAAGCGUAACAGCUCACUGGUCGAGUGGGUCUGCGCCGAAAAUGUAACGGGGCUCAAGUACAUUACCGAAGCUAUGGCUCUCUAUGUUUUGCAUAGGGGGGGUAGGGGAGCAUUCCAUUGUAGGUUGAAGAUCGACCGAAAGGACGGUUGGACGAAAUGGAAGAGAGUAUGCUGACAUGAGUAGCGAUAAUGCCGGUGAGAAACCGGCACGCCGAAAACCUAAGGUUUCCUGAGGAAGGUUAAUCCGCUCAGGGUUAGUCAACACCUAAGCUGAGGCCGAAAGGCGUAAGUGAUGGAAAACAGGUUAAUAUUCCUGUACCACCAGAUGAACGUUUGAGUGAAGGGGGGACGUGGAAGGGUAGAUCAUCCAGGGAUUGGAUGUCCUGGUUCAAGCCAGUAGGUGGAGAGGGUAGGCAAAUCCGCCCUCUUGUAUAACACCGAGAGGUUAUGAGGAUCUCGUUUUCGAGAACAAACUGGUUGAUCCCAUGCCACCAAGAAAAGCCUCGUAGCGAGUUUAUUUGGUGAUUGUACCGUAAACCGACACAGGUAGGUGAGGAGAGUAUCCUAAGGCGCUUGAGUGAAUCCUCGUUAAGGAACUCGGCCAAUUAACCCCGUAACUUCGGGAGAAGGGGUGCCCUUGUUAGGUGAAGUAACUUGCUUAUGGAGCCGAGAAGGGCCGCAGAGAAAUGGCUGUAGCGACUGUUUACUAAAAACACAGGUCUCUGCUAAGUCGCAAGACGAUGUAUAGGGACUGACGCCUGCCCGGUGCUAGAAGGUUAUGGGGAUUUGUCAUUCUUUCGAUUCGUCGGAAGGAGAAGCAGUGAACCGAAGCCCUAGUAAACGGCGGCCGUAACUAUAACGGUCCUAAGGUAGCGAAAUUCCUUGUCGGGUAAGUUCCGACCUGCACGAAUGGUGUAACGACUUCAGCACUGUCUCAACGAGGAGCUCAGCGAAAUUGAAUUGGCGGUGAAGAUGCCGUCUACCCGCGACAAGACGGAAAGACCCCGGCACCUUUACUACAGCUUGACAGUGAGUUUUGGUGUAGCUUGUGUAGGAUAGGUGGGAGACUUUGAAAUUGAGGCGCUAGCCUUGAUGGAGUCGCCCUUGAAAUACCACCCUGGUUAUUCUGUAAUUCUAAUCCAGGUCCGUUAUCCGGAUCGGAGACAUUGUCUGGUGGGUAGUUUGACUGGGGCGGUCGCCUCCUAAAAUGUAACGGAGGCGCGCGAAGGUUCCCUCAGGCUGAUUGGAAACCAGCCGUAGAGUGUAAGGGCAUAAGGGAGCUUGACUGCGAGACUGACAAGUCGAGCAGGUGCGAAAGCAGGUCCUAGUGAUCCGGCGGUUCCGCAUGGAAGGGCCGUCGCUCAACGAAUAAAAGGUACGCCGGGGAUAACAGGCUUAUCUCCCCCAAGAGUCCACAUCGACGGGGAGGUUUGGCACCUCGAUGUCGGCUCAUCACA